rnacentral:rRNA from 1 species
UACGGAGGGUGCAAGCGUUAUCCGGAUUCACUGGGUUUAAAGGGUGCGUAGGCGGGUUGGUAAGUCCGUGGUGAAAUCUCCGAGCUUAACUCGGAAACUGCCGUGGAUACUAUCAAUCUUGAAUAUCGUGGAGGUAAGCGGAAUAUGUCAUGUAGCGGUGAAAUGCUUAGAUAUGACAUAGAACACCAAUUGCGUAGGCAGCUUACUACACGAUCAUUGACGCUGAGGCAUGAAAGCGUGGGGAGCAAACAGG